ACCGGUGUAAAAUCCUGUCGUGCGGUC
rnacentral:sRNA from 1 species